AAAUGAAAUUUUCGUCUGAUAACGUGUUUAUACAUUUCGUUAGCUACCGCGCUUCGUAACAAUAUAGUGAGCGGACUUUCCUAUAGACAGCCGUUUGUUACAUAAAAAAAACACAGGCACGUGAGCAGCAGGCUCGAGCCGUGAUUGGUCAGAGCGUCUCGGUUACAAAACCUGCGCUGGAAAGUUUCGUAACUACGGAAGGGACGUAAGAAGUUUAUACUGUUAGACUGGACCAUGUGGAUCCUGCUGCCCUGCUCUUACAUCCCUCCAAUAACAAUAAAACCAAACAAACACUUUAUAUAACCGUUUGAUAUGUCAGUCAAUAAGAUAGAGUUUGUAAAAGCUGUCAGGAAACGUACUGAGAAAAAAAACCCUUCAUACCUGGUUAUGCAAUUUGAGUUUGUAACACCUAUAAUUUAUUUUUAGCGUCCUUAGCUGUCUGUCUGUUUUUAAUGGCAUUUUCUGAGACUUAUUUCUUCAUACCUAUCUCUACAAAAAAAUUUACGCUUCAGUCUGCUGCGGAGGCAGCAUAAAGCAGAAGGCUGCAAUGAGACUGGACUCACUGGACGCUGUGGUGGAGAGAUGCACACAGAGCCCACCCUGGAAUACAUUGAUCAUACCCUUCACUACAUGCUGAUGGAGCAGAGAAGCAGCUGCAGUGGACGACUCACCUCACUGCGCUGCAGGAGUUAAAGAUACAAGAGAUCCUUCAACCCCACUGCCAUCAGGCUCUACAACACCUUAGCCAAUGGCAGACCAAAAAUGCCAUGGUUGAAAAAACACCCUUUAGCAAAGUUUGCAUAAAAAAACAAAGGAAGAAAAAAACCAUGAAUGCAAUACUGUGUAGUUAUUUGAAUUAGCUAUUUUAUUUAGGGUGGUUGUUUGAGCUUGGGGGCAGCAUAAUAAUUUAGUCCAGCACUAAAAACCUUUGUCAAGUGGCCUUUAGCCUUCAGGAAUAUCUGGACAUGUUCAUUCAGGUGUUGCUAAGUUCUUUUGGGAAGGGUAAUUUGCUUAGUUGAAAGGCAAUAAUGUAGAAAAUGUUUCAAAAAAUUAGU
rnacentral:lncRNA from 1 species